rnacentral:tRNA from 1 species
GGUUCGGUAGCUAAGUCGGUAAAGCACUUAUGUAGCAUAUAAGGGUCGUGAGUUAAAGUUUCACUUGAGCUU